AUGUUUGAGAGAGCCACGACGGCCCGGAUCGGCGAUGGCCAGCAAGCAGGAUUCUCGACAAGCUCCUGGCUGGAUGGCACCCCGCUAUGCUCAUCCUUUCUGGACCUUUUCAAGCACUGUAGGCGCAAGAACCGCACGGUGGCUGCAGCGCUCACCGACGAGCAGUGGAUCAGCGAUCCGCGCCACGGCAACACAACAUCCAUCAUCAUCGAAUACCUGCGCCUUUGGCGGCGACUCCAGCUCUCGGGGAUCACCCUCGACAACCAAGUGGCCGAUCAGAUUGCGUGGACAGUAGGUGGUGGCGCCUAUUACUCUGCUCGGGCAGCAUACAGAAUGCAUUUCAAGGACAUGACAAGCACAAGCCACAACAAGGUCGUCUGGAAAUGCUGGGCGCCGGGGACUGUCAAGAUGUUCGCGUGGCUGCUUCACAAGAACAGGCUUUGGUGCAAUGACAGACUACAGAGGCGGGGCUGGCCAAACGGGUAUUUAUUUCUGCAGUCUAUGUACCAGAAGCAUGGAAUCUGCGUCGCACCUCAUGUGGGAAUGCCCCUUCUCCUGGACGAUUUGGAUAUCUGCCUCAACCUAGAAUGGUUGCGAGGCCAUGAGACAUGUCAAGCCGCCGCACCACUACUCUCUGCAGCACUGCCAGGAGAUGAUCAGACGCACACUGACCGGCGUGCUUCUGAUCGCCUGGCACAUUUGGAAGGAGAGGAAUGCUUGUGUUUUCAGAGCUAA
rnacentral:rRNA from 1 species